rnacentral:rRNA from 1 species
CGUAGGGGCGAGCGUUGUCCGGAAUUAUUGGGCGUAAAGAGCGUGUAGGCGGCUCGGUAAGUCCGCCGUGAAAACCCGGGGCUCAACCCCGGGCUUGCGGUGGAUACUGUCGGGCUAGAGGAUGGUAGAGGCGAGUGGAAUUCCCGGUGUAGCGGUGAAAUGCGCAGAUAUCGGGAGGAACACCAGUAGCGAAGGCGGCUCGCUGGGCCAUUCCUGACGCUGAGACGCGAAAGCGUGGGGAGCGAACAGGAUUAGAUACCCUGGUAGUCCACGCCGUAAACGAUGAACACUAGGUGUGGGGGGGAGUCGAAUCCCUCCGUGCCGCAGCCAACGCGAUAAGUGUUCCGCCUGGGGAGUACGGCCGCAAGGCUA